UACGAGGGGGCAAGCGUUGUUCGGAAUUAUUGGGCGUAAAGGGCGCGUAGGCGGUUUGGCAAGUCUAGUGUGAAAUCUUCGGGCUCAACUCGAAGUCUGCACUGGAAACUGCCGGGCUUGAGUAUGGGAGAGGUGAGUGGAAUUUCCGGUGUAGCGGUGAAAUGCGUAGAUAUCGGAAGGAACACCUGUGGCGAAAGCGGCUCACUGGACCAUAACUGACGCUGAGGCG
rnacentral:rRNA from 1 species